UGUAAAUCAAACUUUUUUUCUGUCAUUCAGCUCUAGAUGUAGAAAAGAAGUGGCAAUUCAUCAACAUUUAUGGAUAUUUCAGGUAAUGUUACACGAAGUACAGAAGGUCUUUUUUAACGGACACAAUAAAAUCCAUAAUUGCUCAAAACUAAAGUUUCGAGACAAACA